GUGAGCGCUCGUGAUAAACAGCCCGGAGCCGAGCCGCCGCGCAGCCGGGCGGGAGGCUGCGUAUCAGAGCUCCUGGCAGGCUCGCAAAAAGCUGUCCCCGGCCCGCCGCCGCUCUAUCAGCCCACGGAGGGAGGGCGGCGGGGGAGGGAGGGAAAAAGUAUUUGCUUCAGCCCUUAAUCACGGAAUUUGAAAUCCCAGCGAGUCGGUGCCAUUUAUUUUCAGAGGCUGUCAAGGCUGGUUUCAGCAUUUAAAAGAAAGGAGGAUAAAACGCAUUUGCAUUUCUCCCCCACUCUCGCUGCGCGCUCGCCGGCGCUCCCCCUCGUUCCCUGCGCAGCUCGCGGGUCGGGCGUUGGCGGGGAGGGGGAGGCCAGAGGCUUUUCAAGGCGCUGGGGGCUCCGGCCGGCCCGAUGGGGAAACUGAGGCCUGGAAACAGAGAACGGUGGGACCAAGGUCACAUGAUGGCGGAAGGAGGACAAGGAAGGAGGCUGACUGCGUAUCCAGCACGUGUUCCGUGCCAAGCCUGUGCAGGGGCCAAGGACCGGGGUCUCUGGACAGCGCCGGUUGCUGGGUCCCACGCUGGGCGACAGGGCCUUUGCAAUCAGGCCGACAGGGUUUGAACCCUUGCCGCGGCACUUUCCAGAUGGCC
rnacentral:lncRNA from 1 species